AACGAACGCUGGCGGCAGGCCUAACACAUGCAAGUCGAGCGCCCAGCAAUGGGAGCGGCAGACGGGUGAGUAACGCGUGGGAACCUUCCCAAUGGUGCGGAAUAGCUCAGGGAAACUUGGGGUAAUACCGCAUAAGCCCGUAAGGGGAAAGAUUUAUCGCCAUUGGAUGGGCCCGCGUAGGAUUAGCUAGUUGGUGAGGUAACGGCUCACCAAGGCGACGAUCCUUAGCUGGUCUGAGAGGAUGAUCAGCCACACUGGGACUGAGACACGGCCCAGACUCCUACGGGAGGCAGCAGUGGGGAAUAUUGGACAAUGGGCGCAAGCCUGAUCCAGCCAUGCCGCGUGAGUGACGAAGGUCUUCGGAUUGUAAAGCUCUUUUGGCGGG
rnacentral:rRNA from 1 species